rnacentral:rRNA from 1 species
UACAGAGGUCCCAAGCGUUGUUCGGAUUCACUGGGCGUAAAGGGUGCGUAGGUGGCUUGGUAAGUUCGAUGUGAAAUCUCCGGGCUUAACCCGGAAAUGGCAUUGAAUACUAUUGAGCUGGAGGUUUGGAGGGGGGACUGGAAUUCAUCGGUGUAGCAGUGAAAUGCGUAGAUAUCGAGAGGAACACCAGUGGCGAAGGCGAGUCCCUGGACAACACCUGACACUGAGGCACGAAAGCUAGGGGAGCAAACAGG